rnacentral:rRNA from 1 species
GACGAACGCUGGCGGCGUGCUUAACACAUGCAAGUCGAACGGAAAGGCCCUGCUUUUGUGGGGUGCUCGAGUGGCGAACGGGUGAGUAACACGUGAGUAACCUGCCCUUGACUUUGGGAUAACUUCAGGAAACUGGGGCUAAUACCGGAUAGGAGCUCCUGCUGCAUGGUGGGGGUUGGAAAGUUUCGGCGGUUGGGGAUGGACUCGCGGCUUAUCAGCUUGUUGGUGGGGUAGUGGCUUACCAAGGCUUUGACGGGUAGCCGGCCUGAGAGGGUGACCGGCCACAUUGGGACUGAGAUACGGCCCAGACUCCUACGGGAGGCAGCAGGGGGGAAUAUUGCACAAUGGGCGGAAGCCUGAUGCAGCACCGCCGCGUGCGGGAUGACGGCCUUCGGGUUGUAAACCGCUUUCGCCUGUGACGAAGCGUGAGUGACGGUAAUGGGUAAAGAAGCACCGGCUAACUAC